rnacentral:rRNA from 1 species
GACGAACGCUGGCGGCGUGCUUAACACAUGCAAGUCGAACGGGGUGUUUAUUUCGGUAAACACCAAGUGGCGAACGGGUGAGUAACGCGUAAGCAAUCUACCUUCAAGAUGGGGACAACACUUCGAAAGGGGUGCUAAUACCGAAUGAAUGUAAGAGUAUCGCAUGAGACACUUACUAAAGGAGGCCUCUGAAAAUGCUUCCGCUUGAAGAUGAGCUUGCGUCUGAUUAGCUAGUUGGUGAGGGUAAAGGCCACCAAGGCGACGAUCAGUAGCCGGUCUGAGAGGAUGAACGGCCACAUUGGGACUGAGACACGGUCCCAGACUCCUACGGGAGGCAGCAUGGGGAAUCUUCCGCAAUGGGCGAAAGCCUGACGGAGCAACGCCGCGUGAACGAUGAAGGUCUUAGGAUCGUAAAAGUUCUGUUGUUAGGGACGAAGGGUAAGAAUCAUAAUAAGGUUUUUAUUUGACGGUACCUAACGAGGAAGCCACGGCUAACUACGUGCCAGCAGCCGCGGUAAAGUAG